rnacentral:rRNA from 1 species
GAUGAACGCUGGCGGCGUGCCUAAUACAUGCAAGUCGGACGGAGCGCUUCGGCGCUCAGUGGCGAACGGGUGAGUAGCACAUGGGCAACCUGCCCUUCAGAGGGGGACAACAGCUGGAAACGGCUGCUAAUACCGCAUAAUGCAUUGGAUUCGCAUGUUUCUGAUGCCAAAGAUUUUAUCGCUGAAAGAUGAGCUCGCGUCUGAUUAGCUAGUUGGCGGGGUAACGGCCCACCAAGGCGACGAUCAGUAGCCGGACUGAGAGGUUGAACGGCCACAUUGGGACUGAGACACGGCCCAG